GGGGACGUGGUGUAGGGGUUAUCACGCCUCAUUUGCAAACACUUCGGGGUUAGAAAAUUGAGGCGGUCACGAGUUCGAUUCUCGUCGUCUCCA